rnacentral:pre_miRNA from 14 species
UGUGUGUGUGUGUAUGUGUGUAUGUGUGUGUGUGUCUUACAGCUCUCCAGCUCCAGUGAGCAGUUCUGUGUGUCCAGAGGGAAGCUGCUGAAGUCCAUCGAGCACAGAGCUGUGACAGUGACCCUGAAAGAAGACACAGACACACACACACACACACACACACGCACACGCACG